rnacentral:rRNA from 1 species
UACAGAGGGGGCAAGCGUUGUUCGGAAUUAUUGGGCGUAAAGGGCGCGUAGGCGGCUUUGCAAGUGACGGGUGAAAUCCCUCGGCUUAACCGAGGAACUGCCUGUCAGACUGCAUGGCUUGAGACCGGGAGAGGUGAGUGGAAUUCCCAGUGUAGCGGUGAAAUGCGUAGAUAUUGGGAGGAACACCAGUGGCGAAGGCGGCACGCUGGACCCCCACUGACGCUGAGGCGCGAAAGCCAGGGGAGCGAACGGG